UUGAGGGGCUCUGCUGACCUUGCCAUGCGCACAUGGAGCACGGCUGAUCCUGGCUGAUCCCAGCUUAUCCCAUCGGCCCCAGGCAUGCACUCCCAGGGCAUUGUGCAGGCAAGCAUGACGGGGUCAAUGCUCUCCUCCUUCCCCAGGGACAGAGCUGUGCAUCCCUUCCUUUUCUUUUUAACAUCAGGCUUCUGUCUGCUGCCCAGCAAAGGAGAAAUCCUUUCUUUCAGCAGUUCAUAGGAUAGAUAUCCUGAGUUGGAAGGGAUCCAAAAAGAUCAUCCAAGUCCAAGCAACGCGGGUACAAAGUCAAGAAACACAUCUGCAGUGUGCCAGUCCCAGAAGCACCCAGAGAUACACAGGAUGGGAGAUGUACCCUCCGCUGGGAAGGCAGCAGUCGGUGGAACAACUGUUUGGACUUGCUGCUUCAUAACAGCUACCAGAGAGCUCUGACAUUCAAGAUUCCCACCUCGAUGCCAGUCUCAGGAGUUUGGAGGUGAGCUCAGAGCGAGAAGACCAGAGACCUUACCACGAGUAAGUUUAUUCAGUUCAAACAAUUCACUGCAGUACAUCAGCUCCUGGGUGCCACAAGGCAAGACUGGAAGCAGCAGCAUUCCAAGAGAAGCAUCUGGUAGAAGCAGCAGCAGUUCUCGAAUCCCCAGAACAAUGGCUGUUUCAAACUGCAGUUUGUCAAAAGGAAAAGUAGCAUUAAUAGUAUGAUCACCUGGAUUGUUUGCCACAUUGCAUCUCUCAGCUCCCUACAACUCCCAAUCACCUUUCACCUCUAUGUUAUGAAAGAAAAAUAUAAUCCAGGAACCCCCUGAGCCUGGUGCCAUGGAUUGCCCUCAGCAUGCACUACACCGACAUCUUUCAGAAGCAUGAACUUGAUAACACUUCCAGAUACAUAAACUCAGCAUUUUGACGCUUUUUUAUUAUUGUUUGAUGAGGGAAAGGGAUUAAGAUGAUGGGGUUUGAGGGUCUGGGGGUAGAGAGGGCUUUGGAUCUUUUUUAGGUUUUUUAAGAAUUUGAAUUCAUUCAUGAAGACUUAAUUUGUGGCAGAGGCAUUUAGAAAUAGUUGUUUGCAAGUCAGAUAUAUGUAUUUGGAUUUCAGGCACCCGCAAUGACUCAUUUUUGAAACCUUCUAAAAAAACAGAAACUCCCUGAAAACCCCACUGUCUUGUUUUUUCUCUCUUUUUUUUUUUUUU